AUUGAACGCUGGCGGCAGGCCUAACACAUGCAAGUCGAGCGGAUGAAGGGAGCUUGCUCCUGGAUUCAGCGGCGGACGGGUGAGUAAUGCCUAGGAAUCUGCCUGGUAGUGGGGGAUAACGUCCGGAAACGGGCGCUAAUACCGCACACGUCCUGAGGGAGAAAGUGGGGGAUCUUCGGACCUCACGCUAUCAGAUGAGCCUAGGUCGGAUUAGCUAGUUGGUGGGGUAAAGGCCUACCAAGGCGACGAUCCGUAACUGGUCUGAGAGGAUGAUCAGUCACACUGGAACUGAGACACGGUCCAGACUCCUACGGGAGGCGGCAGUGGGGAAUAUUGGACAAUGGGCGAAAGCCUGAUCCAGCCAUGCCGCGUGUGUGAAGAAGGUCUUCGGAUUGUAAAGCACUUUAAGUUGGGAGGAAGGGCAGUAAGUUAAUACCUUGCUGUUUUGACGUUACCAACAGAAUAAGCACCGGCUAACUUCGUG
rnacentral:rRNA from 1 species